UAGGGAAUCUUCCACAAUGGACGCAAGUCUGAUGGAGCAACGCCGCGUGAGUGAAGAAGGUUUUCGGAUCGUAAAGCCCUGUUGUUGGUGAAGAAGGAUAGAGGUAGUAACUGGCCUUUAUUUGACGGUAAUCAACCAGAAAGUCACGGCUAACUACGUGCCAGCAGCCGCGGUAAUACGUAGGUGGCAAGCGUUGUCCGGAUUUAUUGGGCGUAAAGCGAGCGCAGGCGGAAGAAUAAGUCUGAUGUGAAAGCCCUCGGCUUAACCGAGGAACUGCAUCGGAAACUGUUUUUCUUGAGUGCAGAAGAGGAGAGUGGAACUCCAUGUGUAGCGGUGGAAUGCGUAGAUAUAUGGAAGAACACCAGUGGAGAAGGCGACUCUCUGGUCUGCAACUGACGCUGAGGCUCGAAAGCAUGGGUAGCGAACAGG
rnacentral:rRNA from 1 species